UACCUACAAGACGGAGGCUCGGCUACAAUUCGGAGAUUUCUUUGUGAAGAAGGAUGAACUGUCAAUGGAUGAUCAGCCUAGAAGUCGGUGGCGAAAGUGAGACUAAGUAGCUACAGUCAACUUCAGAGCGAGCCUUGUGAAGAUGUCUGCAACUUCAUACUGAGCUGGACUCUGAGGCCUCGUCGCCGGAUGUUUGAAGGUGGAAGGUCACCAUGCAUGACUGACAAAACAUAAAGGAUUGAAGCCGAGACCCAAGGUUGACCCAAUCACACCCGCCGAACCCCUUCAGGGCAAGGCAGUCAAUUGGACGGGAGCUCGGAUUUCGGCCUUGGGGGAUCUCCUAGUCGUGCCUUGCAUCUGGUUUGCUUUCACAGCUACACACCUGGUGUCGGUUGGGUAUCUCUAUACCCUUCGCACUAGACUGGCUAGGGCUUAGGGCUCACCAAUAGGUACUCACCUCCCUGCUUAUACCCGGCAGGGAGGGUUACACAUCCCUGGGCCUAUCCACCCGGGGAGAUAGGUUUUAUAAUUAGACCCCACCUUGCUUAGCUCGGUAGCCCUUUCCCUCACGGGAAAAUGGCCGAAAUGGUAAAGUUUUUCUUUGAGGUCCUCCUCCAGGAGACCAGGACCAAGACAUUGUCACAAAAUAUGGCGAAAUGAUAAGCGCCCUUGAUAUCAAGGACCCGCGCCUAGCGCGCUAUUGUGUUACCGAUAUCGGCUCAACAAAAGAGGCCGGCGCAGCUGUGUCGCGCCCCAUUGUUGAGCCUAUAAUUGUCUCUUCGGGGAAAACCGCCGCAUUAGCGGAAACGGUAAUCCCCAAUACAAUGGUCGAUG